GCCUAUAGCUCAGCUGGUUAGAGCGCACGCCUGAUAAGCGUGAGGUCGAUGGUUCGAGUCCAUUUAGGCCCAUC
rnacentral:tRNA from 1 species